CCCUGGUGGCUUAGUGGUAAAGAAUCUGCCUGCCAAUGCAGGAGACCCAGGUUUGAUCCCUGGAUCAGGAA
rnacentral:tRNA from 1 species